AGACAAAGCCAUAUAUGAUUGAAGGUUAUCAGUACUGUGCUUUUGGAGGAUUCAGAAGAAGUUAUAUCUGAUUGGGAGAUUGAAAAGGAUUGGCCUGAAGGAGAGGUGGUUUUUGAACUGCAUCUUAAAGGAUGAGGAAACUGAGGCUGAGAGGGUAGAGAACUUUGCCUGAGGUCACUCAGCAGGGACCCACCCAUCACAGUAAAUGCCAGCACUGCUGAUGCCAAAACAAUGUUAUUUGUAGGCCCUCGGAAUUUGUGACCUGAAGGAAGAAGAGCAGGGCCGUGGGAAGUAUGUAACCAGUGUCAUGCCCCUGGUCCCAAGGAAGCAGUGGCUUGGCCUGAACACCCUGUCCUACCUGGUCCUACCUGGAUGCUGGCCUCAGUAAGCUCCUGGGCUCAUUGAAGAUGAACCUAGCAGUAGUAUUUACACCACUUGUUGUGUGCCCACUGUGGGCCCGGCGCCAUGCCGAGUGCUCUAUGGAUGUGAGAGAAACGGAGGCCCAGAAAGCAGAAAUGAUGUGUUAAGAUCACUCAUCAAGCUGAUGGUACAGAGAUGAGAACACUGAAGCAGUUUUUUCUAAAGAUAGCUGCCUGGCACAGUGGCUCACAUCUGUAGUCCCAGCAUUUGGGGAGGCCAAGGCAGGUGGAUCACUUGAGGCCAGGAAUUCAAGACCAGCAUGGCCAACAUGUUUUCCAUCCUUCCUUCAGUGCUGGGAGAGAAAAGCAUACGACAUAGACAGGGAGGUCAAGCUCCACCACGCAGAUGAGGUGCAGGCCACCAGUCUUCCUCUGCCACAUCUCUUUCUGAAAAGGACUUCACAUUCACCCUUGCAAUCCAUGUGGGGACACUGUUGGAUAGGAGGCGUGGUCCCAGCGUGGUCUCCCUGUCUGGGCCUCUGCCUAUGCCAAAUGUUUGCCUUACGCUGCACACUCAAGAGGUUCCAUGUAUACAGAUGGGAAUUCCAGAGCUACAGAAAAGGCAGCAAGCACCAUGAUUUAAGCUAACCAGUGUGGAUUCACACCUUCCUCUCUCUCUAUCAGUGGCAGAACUACCAGCUAGAGUAAGAAGUGGUUGAUCCAGGACCUAAACAUUCUGGAAACUCUUGCCCACUUCUGGGAGAAAUGACCCAAUCCAUAGUACUAAGCACACCUUAACUUUCGUAGGACGCAGGCAAGUUGUCAUACCGUGUGCCUAAAUAUAGAAAAAUGAUCCACUGGACUAAUAAAGUGUUAAAUAAAA
rnacentral:lncRNA from 1 species